GUGAAUCAUCAAAUCUUUGAACGCAAAUUGCACUCCCUGGUAUUCCGGGGAGUAUGCCUGUUUGAGGGUCGUUAGAAUAAAAAAUGGAGGCGUCGCUCUUUUUUUUAAGGGGGAUCGGGUGGGAAUGGAGCGGUCUUUAAAAGGUAAAUUAAUGUAAAAGUGGAUGGAAAGGAAUCAAUCGGGUAGGAUGGAAGCGUAUUUAAGAAAAAUU
rnacentral:misc_RNA from 1 species